ACAUGAACAACGCAUUAAAAUAACAUUCUUAAAAAAAGCGUUCCUACGAGGAUAUACUUGUAUAACCUAUGAAGUAUGGAAAUCGUCAAACAGAAUGGAGACAAACUGCUCUAUAGCAGAGUGUCGAUCUUGGGUGCAGUGCCUGCUUGAACUCCAUAGUAGGGAUUGCAAUGAUUGAUUCUACAA
rnacentral:sRNA from 1 species